UCCGGUUUUUGCCUUCUGUGGGUUUUAUAG
rnacentral:piRNA from 1 species